GUGGGAUCGGCAGAGACACGCAGAGGUUGGAGAGAGAAAACCCGUUGGUCAAACACAAAAAAAAACUCAGAACCGGACACAGCCUCCAUAAACCGACAGUGAGAGACAAUGGAGUGGGAUUAGAGGUCUGGAGAGAGAGACAGAGAGAUGAGGAAAAACAAGCUGUUCUCUGUAGAGAGAUCUAGGGGCUACUGAGCUGGGCUUCACACAAGCAGUAUUUGGCAAAUAAUUGUUGACUGUUACUCUGAUUUGAAAUGCACACCAUAAAUAACCAUAAAACAAGUUCCAAGUAAGCCUCCAGCAUCCCCUCAGUAUGGAUGAUGACGCUGUCUUCGCCAAAGUUUCCAAGCUGUUUUGACUGCCACCAGAAAAGAUUCACUCUCAGAAAAGCCUGUACAUGGAAGCUGGCAACACAAAGAACAUCAAGCUCUCAGAAAUGCCAGCCAAGAGUGAAGGAGGGAGCUUUGGCAGACAAGCACAGCAGACAGAAAACACUUACCUAAUGCCUCAGUUUUAACAAUGUUUUAUUGGCUUGAGGUCAGCUGUUGGUCCCAAGAAAAAAUGUCCUUCAGUGCAACAGCAUCGCUAUGUCAGAGGAGCACGUCUUGGACUGAGUUAGCAUCUCUCCCUUUCUCUGCCUCUUUAUCUAUUGAUAUUUUAUUCUGUCUCCUAGCUCCUUAUUUGGCCUCUGGAUCAUUCUCUGCAUGCACUUGACUUUUCCAACACUUUCUGUCUUGUCAAGUUGUCAUAGCUAUGCAACAUAAAACAGAAUCAAUAAGCUGUUUU